rnacentral:rRNA from 1 species
ACGCUCGACACCUACGGGAGGCAGCAGUGGGGAAUAUUGCACAAUGGGGGAAACCCUGAUGCAGCGACGCCGCGUGAAGGAAGAAGUAUCUCGGUAUGUAAACUUCUAUCAGCAGGGAAGAAAGUGACGGUACCUGACUAAGAAGCCCCGGCUAACUACGUGCAAGCAGCCGCGGUAAUCUGAGCGGGCUGGCAAGGC